UACGGAGGAUGCGAGCGUUAUCCGGAUUUAUUGGGUUUAAAGGGUGCGUAGGCGGAUGGAUAAGUCAGUGGUGAAAUUCUGCAGCUUAACUGUAGACUUGCCGUUGAUACUGUUUAUCUUGAGUAUGGCCAAGGCAGGCGGAAUGUGUAAUGUAGCGGUGAAAUGCUUAGAUAUUACACAGAACACCAAUUGCGUAGGCAGCUUACUGAGCCGACACUGACGCUGAGGCACGAAAGCGUGGGGAUCGAACA
rnacentral:rRNA from 1 species